rnacentral:rRNA from 2 species
GUCGCGAGAAGUCCACUGAACCUUAUCAUUUAGAGGAAGGAGAAGUCG